CUGCACCUUUACCAGUGGC
rnacentral:misc_RNA from 1 species